GCAGACCCUGUCACCCGCGCGCCUACAGCAGGUUUGAGGGCGCUGUUCAAGCCUGAUAACCCUAAAUUAAGGUCUGCAACGCGCACGUGCGCGGCAUUCCGCGAGGGGAUUUGCUUGCCACUUACCCCUGGUGCGCUCUUGCGCAUCGAUCCCAGCAAGUGGCUAUGGCGGCGUUGGGCAGCGGCCACACACGUAUGAGAAGAGGCGGAGCGCUGCCUUCGGUGUGGUACCCUGCAAGGCGACCUGAGCGCUUGAGGCGCUGUUGCCAGAAUGGCUUGACCAUGUGCGGGGACCCAGAGCCAGGCAGCCAGGCCGUGCGGGUGCUGCAGUUUU
rnacentral:telomerase_RNA from 1 species